rnacentral:rRNA from 1 species
GUCCUACGGGGCGCAGCAGUGAGGGAUAUUGGUCAAUGGGGGAAACCCUGAACCAGCAACGCCGCGUGAGGGAAGACGGUUUUCGGAUUGUAAACCUCUGUCCUCUGUGAAGAUAAUGUCGGUAGCAGAGGAGGAAGCUCCGGCUAACUCCGUGCCAGCAGCCGCGGUAAUACGGAGGAUGCGAGCGUUAUCCGGAUUUAUUGGGUUUAAAGGGUGCGUAGGCGGAAGGUUAAGUCAGCGGUCAAAUGUCGGUGCUCAACACCGGCCUGCCGUUGAAACUGGUCUUCUUGAGUGAGC